GCCAGGUGCAGUGGCUCGCGCCUGUAAUCCCAGCACUUUGGGAGGCUGAGGUGGGAGGAUCACUUGAGCCCAGGAGUUUGAGACCAGCCUGGGCAACAGAGUGAAACCCCAUCUCUU
rnacentral:SRP_RNA from 1 species